GCCUGGGUGGCUCAGUUGGUUAAGCAUCUGACUUCAGCUCAGGUCAUGAUCUUGCGGUUCAUGAGUUCGAGCCCCAUGUUGGGCU
rnacentral:tRNA from 1 species